rnacentral:misc_RNA from 1 species
UGCCGAUACUCCUUUAUCCUCUUCACAUUUUGUUCAUUCCCCUUCGCCUCCUCCUUUUGUUCAAUGGAAGACAAUAUCCGCCAAGAUGCCCUUCUUGCUCCAAUGACAUUUUUGUACCCAACAGAAACCAGAUUCCUCUCCUCCACUGUCAAUUCUACAUCCAACCUAGCAACUUUCUUCAUUGCUUCAACCAUCUCAUCGUAUCUCUCGGCUUGCUCUGCAAGUCUCGCCAAGUAAACCUGCUGCUCUCUCUCCUUCUCCAUCCUCUUUUCUCUGUGUGUGCUCGAGUGAGAUUUUUGCUUUGAGCGGUUUUAGGUGGCUGGGAACUGCUAUGAGAU